UUAAUUGUGAUUUAACUAAUUAAACUAUAAUUAAUAGUAAUGAAGGGGGUACAACAAGCAUAAAGGGUCUGUUUGAGCAAUUGGGUCGUAGGCCCUAUUGCAAGGCCCAAAGCUCAUCAUGCCAGACGGGGGUGUGAGCUUGAUGAUGAGGUGAAAUAGAAAAGAGCCUGGAAAGUCGUUUGGGCCUUAGGCCUAAUCUUGGUCUAAGGCCUAACAAAACAAGCAACAAAGCUGAAAGAAGACCGAAGAACGCUUGGGAGAAGCUUCAACGUCAGCAACACGUUUCUUCGAAAAAUGGCAUCUCGUUUCAACAGAACGUCGCGUCUUCAACACCAUUCAUGGUGGUAAUAAACAUGCUGAAUUGGUUUCUCUGUUUGAUUUUUGACUGUAGGUCAUGAAGCUAGGGAUUCAUGCCUGGCACAUAUACAUUAUUGUUUACCAUUAAUAGCUAAUCCUUGGCAUAGUAAUGAUCCACCCGAAAUCGAAUUAAUAAGGUGCACCACUUCACAAGGAUGCACACUUCUGAAGCUGCCCCGCUAGCAGACCCGAAUUUUCACUAAAUGAUGAAGUUCAAGGAUGUACAUCAGGUGGAAAGAUGCAGCAAUAGAAGGCAAGGACAACAAGCUUGAUUCAACAAGGUGAAAGUGAAGUCUCAAAAGGUGCAUUUGAGUUGAGUAGGAGUGGUUACAAGCUCAAGACAACAAGAAUAAUCUCUUUUCAAUCUUAAAGCAAUGUUAAUGUAUCAUGUAGUGAUGUAGGAUUUUUGUAUGGACUUUGUAGGAAUGUUCAAAUGUAAUGAAAACUUUGUACCCAUCCUAAUCAAAUUUGGUUUUUCUUUUCAUUUCAAAUCUUGUAUGCAAAUGUUAUGAAUGCAAGUUAUAUAAAAUGCA